rnacentral:tRNA from 1 species
GGCCCCAUCGUCCAGCGGUUAGGACGCAGGGUUCUCAUCCCUGAAACCCGGGUUCGAUCCCCGGUGGGGUCACCA